UUGGUACACGCACAUUGUGGCUUCUUAAAACCGUUUUAUGCACAUAAUUCAUGCUCUUUAGUUACGAAAUUUAAAAUUGUUAUGCACAGGACUUUCAUCGGGUAAAGCUUGAACAAUUCACUAAUGCCUUGAUUCAGGUGGUCUCAAUGGGUAAAUCUAGCAGGAGGCCCUUAUGGUAAGUCUCUUUGACUUUCAAUAGUCAAAUGGAAGUAAAGGUCCUGGAUUUACAGAGUACAUGUCCCACCUUAAAUUUUUUUAUUAGUGGUGAAUAGGCUGGUAGGCUAAAGGCAAGAUGUGUUGAUUGAUAGUUCAUCAAUUAAAUUUGAGAAGGUAAAUCAAAGAAUAAAUAAGAUUCAUCUAUUGUAGUAUUUGUUAGUUAUGGAAGUUAACGACUAACAUACUACAACAUUUGUCUUUUUCAUACAAGUUUUAUAUUCGUCUUUUUAGCUAUCUAGGGUGAAACUAUCAAAUUUAGAUAUCAGGUAGGGUUACUCUCACUAGCUUUUAACUACCAAUAUAUUAAAGGUGUGGUAAAAUCGAUAUAGAGGAGCCAAGACAAUGAAGUAUAAUCACACCAGACACUCGACAACAACUCAUGUCACUGGUCCUUUCUUCAUUGGUGUUUUGGAGGUUCUUGAACUUUUUUAUCCGCAUUCAUAUUGGUUAAUUUUUUAGCUGGAAACAAACUGCAGGCUACCUGCCGAUUUGAACUGUUUUGAUUGUCAUUUAAUAUUGAAUUGUUAUUGUUUCAUGUUCAAAAAGGGGCUGCCAUGUUUUACUAAAUUGGCAGUUUAGCUGAAGUUGCGUAUUGAUCCUUUUCUUAAUAACAACUACUAAUCUAAGUUUUAUUUUUUUACUCUAGAAACAGACUGCAAGCUACCUACCUAUUUGAACUGUUUUAACCAUCAUUUAAUAGCGAAUUAUGUGGAUUUCAGGUUCAAAAAGGGGUUGCUGGUUCACAAGUACCAUCCUGUACAACAGAGGAAAAAGUGCUUGAUUCUAGGUCUCAUGUCGAACCACAAGUGUUUAGAGGUCAUGUAAGACUUGAUACUGACUCAUAUACGUUGUCAACCAUGUGAGUACCCUUCUUAAAAUGAUUCCGGGUUAAGACGGCUCCGUGCAAAAGGAGUUCAGUUCAAUUAAAUUAUUAUUAGUUAAGUUCGGGUAAAUAUGGGUUUGGAGCAAAAUAAGUUCGGGUCAAACGGGUGGUUUUGUUGAAAAAACAAACUUUAAAGUUUUGAAACUUCUUUUGAGCACCUAUGUUUAUGUAUUACAUAUGAUGAUUAUUUUGUCGAAAAAAUGGGUUCUGAGAAACAGCUUGAUUAACUUUUUAUCGAAGAAAUGGGGUUUGAUGAGGAAACUUUGGUCAAUUUCAACAUCAGAAAGGAAACUGCAUCAAGUCAGAGUUCUAACGGGUUUUGAAACAAGUAUAUUAUGGUGACAAACAUACGGGUCCCGAGAUAGUGGAAGCAAUGGUUUUGAUACACGAGAGAAUAAUUUUAAGGAACUUUACUUGAUGCAUCGGCGCUGAAAUCUAGCGAUGGUAGUAUCGCCAAGGAGUUUGAUCACGUUUAGUGAAGGAUUUCUUGGAGAAUGAGUCAACUGGGCAGAUACGAGUAUACAACCCAAGAAAUAUAGAGAGAAGGAGAUGCGAGAGUGGCCAGUAACAGGGGUUAAAGCGAUGUCGGAUCAAUCAUCUAGGGUUCUGACCGAGGAGUUCAACCGCUGACGAUUUUCACCCAUCGAAGGUUGGAUCAAAAACUCAUCAGCGUUGAAACUCACUAACAAUGGUCUGAGUAUCCGAGUGCUGUUUUGAGCAACUAUUUUAAGUGAUUUACAAUAAGGUGAAGUUGGUCAAAGAGCCUACAAAACCGCUGCGAAAUGGUUGGGAUUCGACUCUUAGGAAGCCUACAGAUCCAAGAUAGGAAUUAUGCUCGCUGGACGCUCUUAAUGGUCUUAAAAUAAAUUGUCGGGGACACGUGGCAAGCUAUGGUUCAACCGCACCACCAACGCAACACAAUCUUAUAGCACAUUGUGAAGUUUUUGAUGGAAAGGAGCUCUCUUUAUGGGCACGUCACCAUUGGUACGCUUACCCCUAUCUUGCAGGUGAUCUGUGUGAUCCAGGAAAAGUGCAGUAAAGCACUAUCAAGCUCAGAGAAGUGGCUCAGUGUAAAUAAAUGAAUAAAACAUGUUUUGAAAAAAUAAAGAUUUCUGUGUGAAAUCAACUUAUUGUAAAUUAUGGGAUUUAUCCCUUAAACUUUGUGUAAUAUAUUAAACGAGCAUUUUCCGGUGAAAAGAUCCUGUUGUAAAAAGACUUCCGCUGUCGCAUAAAUUAAAUACCACGGGUACCACUAAAAUCUGCAUCGCGGGCCCCGACUCCGUCCAGGGUGGGUCAGGGGCCGCGACAGUUUAAAUAGGUAUAAAGAAGUCUUUAAUGACUUGUGAUUUUUGCGUUACUUCUUUUUUUGAAUUAAUUGUAGUUUACUAAUUUCAUUUGUACUAGAACGUUUAUUUCUUUCUAAGGAUUAUUUCAACAAUUUUAAGUGA